rnacentral:lncRNA from 10 species
GUAGGGCUCCAGGCCCCAAAGAAAGGGUAGAGAGCUUGAGGGAAUUAAUGUGAACAAAGACCAGGAAAUAGUAAUGAAAAUAGUUUGGGGGAAAAUAAUUAGUAGACCAUUUGAUGGGAGCAGACAGAUUGUGUGGACUGGAAGAUGACUAGGAGAUAAUAAUGGAAUGGUAGACCAUAGUCUGCUUGUAGAGGGCCUUGAAUUCUAGGCUAAUUAGUGUAGUCUUAGCCUAUAAGCAAUAAGGAGCACCACUCUCACAGAUAAAAGAGAGCAGACCACUCCAGCUUCAGAGUACCUUCAAUCAAAAGAAGCACGGACAUUGAUUACAAGAAGUUUUGUGAAAUGUCUCAAGUGUGUAUAACUAUUUCCCAUAUUUGUAACUUUGUUAUCUCCAUGGUAUCAGUGUUAUUUGGGAGGACAGCAAGAAGAAGAUAGCUGGCAAGAUUACGUCCUACUGGAGAUGAAAAGGACCCUAAGAAAUGAAUUGUACAAAGAUUAACAAACACAAACCCUUUGCUGGAGUUUACAUUGUAAUACAGACCCUUCAUGAUGUGGCCAGGCAUGUCAAGGCCAUACAGACAAGAGAAGACAAACAUUCAGCCUAGAUAUGGAGAGGCAGCUGAAUAUUUACAUUACCCAACAGAGCAAAGAUCCCUAUACCCAACUUCCUAACUCAACAUCUAGACUUGAAUGUCUCAUGGGUACAAACAUGCCUGAAGCUGAACUCAUCCUCCUUCUUUGAUCUCAGAAGAUAGCACCGCCAUCAACCCAGCUGCCCAAGGGAAAAUUCUGGGAGUCAACCUCUAUUCCUUCUUUCUCCCACUUCACAUUCAGUCAGUCAUCAAGUCCUGCCAAUUAAAUCUCCUAAAAAUUUUUGAAAUCCAUUCACUUCUCUCCAUCCUCAUUGCAACUGCCAUUCUUACUUCAGGCCCCCAAGUUCAGACCAACUUACUGAACUCACUGCCUCUGAUCUUGCCACCCUGUCUCAUCUCCAGUUCAGUUGGUCACAUUGCAAAAGAAUGCCAUUGAUUUUUUUCCAUACAGAUCUGAUCUUAUCACCUUUGUUUAAAACACUUCAAAGACCUUCAAGAAAAAAAUUAAACUCUUUAACAUGAUUUUCAAGGCCCUUCAUAAUCAGAUCUUGCUUUGACAGUGCUGUGUAAUGAUUAGACUUGAGCAAGACUGGCUGGGUUCAAAUCUCAGCUUUAACACUUUUAGUAGCUGUGUAACUUUGAGCAAGUUAACCUCCCUGUACUUGAGUUUUCUCAGCUAUAAAACGGAGUAAUUACAAUGCCUACCUUCCAGGGUUAUUGUUUUUUUUUUGUUUGUUUUUUUCUUUACAGCGUCUCACUCUGUCACCCAGGCUGGAGUGCAGCGACUCACUCUCGGCUCACUGCAACCUCUGCCUACCAGGUUCAAGCGAUUC